rnacentral:rRNA from 1 species
UACGAAGGGGGCUAGCGUUGUUCGGAAUUACUGGGCGUAAAGCGCACGUAGGCGGAUUGUUAAGUCAGAGGUGAAAUCCCGGAGCUCAACUUCGGAACUGCCUUUGAUACUGGCAAUCUAGAGUCCGGAAGAGGUUAGUGGAAUUCCCAAGUGUAGAGGUGAAAUUCGUAGAUAUUGGGAAGAACACCAGUGGCGAAGGCGGCUAACUGGUCCGGGUACUGACGCUGAGGUGCGAAAGCGUGGGGAGCAAACAGG